rnacentral:sRNA from 1 species
UUUCUCGGUUCAACAAACUUCGAGUUGUGGUGGCCGAUGACGGUUCCGAAGCCCCGGAAAUGCCUGUUAACGGGGCGCACCCGACCCUCCAGGCCGACGAUGAUUCCUUACUGGACCAAGACUUACCUUUGACCAACAGUCAGCUGAGUUUGAAGGUGGACUCCUGUGACAACUGCAGCAAACAGAGAGAGAUACUGAAGCAGAGAAAGGUGAAAACCAGGUUGACCAUUGCUGCCGUUCUGUACUUGCUUUUCAUGAUUGGAGAACUUGUAGGUGGAUACAUUGCAAAUAGCCUAGCAAUCAUGACAGAUGCACUUCAUAUGUUAACUGACCUAAGCGCCAUCAUACUCACCCUGCUUGCUUUGUGGCUAUCAUCAAAAUCACCAACCAAAAGAUUCACCUUUGGAUUUCAUCGCUUAGGCUGGAAUACAAUGACACCAUCAUAGCUCACUGCACCGUCGAACUCCUGAGCUCUAGAAAUGUUACCCUCGCAGCCUCCAGAGUAGCUAGGACUGCAUGCAUAUACCACCAUACCCAGCUAAUUUUUUAAUUUUUUGUACAGACAUGGUCUUGCUUUGUUGCCAGGCUGGUCCUGAACUCCUAGCUUCAAGCUAUCCUUCCACCUCAGUCUCCCAAAGUGCUGGGAUUACAACCAUAAGCCACUGCACCAGGCCUGAUGAAUGGAACCUUUUAAAGUCACUAAUAGUCCAGGCACUGUGGCUCAUACCUCUAAUUGCAGCACUUUGGGAGGCCAAGACAGGAGGAUCACUUGAGCCCAGGAGUUGGAGACCAGCCUGGGCAACACAGGGAGAUCCCGUCUCUAUAAAAAGAAAAAUUAGCAGAUGUGGUGGCACACACCUGUGGUCCCAGCUACUUGGGAGGCUAAGAUAGGAAGAUUGCUUGGGUCCAGGAGGUUGAGGCUGCAGUGAGCCAUGUUCAGGCCACUGCACUCUAGCCUGGGUGAUGGAGCAAGACUCUGUCUCAAAAAAAUAAAAAAAUAUAGGCUGGGUGCAGUGGCUCAUGCCUGUAAUCCCAGCACUUUGGGAGACCAAGGCUAGUGGAUCACCUGAGGUUGGAUUUUGAGACCAGCCUGACCAACAUGGAGAAACCCCAUCUCAACUAAAAAUACAUGUGGCACAUGCUUAUAAUCCCAGCUACUCAGGAGGCUGAGGCAGGAGAAUCACUUGAACCCGGGAGGUGGAGGUUGCGGUGAGCUGAGAUCGUGCCAUUGCACUCCAGCCUGGGCAACAAGAGCGAGACUCUGUCUCAAAACAAAAAAAAAAAAAGUAAAAAGUCACUAAUAUAUAAUAUGUAAUAAACAAUUGUUUUUACAAUG